AACGAUCCUCCUGCUUCAGCCUCCCGAGUGCUGGGAUUACAGUGUGUUAUCUACUAAUGGAAAAGACCUUAGGAUCUGCCCUGGAUCAUUGGCACUGGCAGUAUGUUUUGGGUUUCACUGUCUGCCAGCACUACAUAUUAUAAUCAAACAGGAACCAUGAAAUUACUAAGCAAUUUCUUGCUGAUACCAUUUCUGGCACUUUCUGAAGUCAAUGAAAAUGUACUCAAAGUUAGAAAGAUAUAACUCACACUAUGCGAUUUUUGUAUGUCUACAAUGUGUACAGAAAAUCAUCCAUCUCUAAGAAAGGAUUGAAUUCUCAGAAAUUGAUCUUCACAACGUGAUUUUCUUGAAAAAUUAUGUCCUUGAUGUUAAAUGCUGUAACAUGUCUGCAGUGUGAAACCUAGUGUAGGUCAUUAAUGUGUCACUGAGAUGUGCUGCUUAAGCAAAGCCACUUGAAACUGGCAUCAUGAAUGGUAUACAUAAAUAUGUUCAGGUGAUCCUUUGUUAAAAGGAUUGGUGUGAGUACCCCUUCUCUCAAUGCGAAAAAUGCUUCAGUAGGGAAACUCACACCAUAUUUGCUGCCUUUAAUGCCCCCUCUUUUUUCAGAAAACUUUUUCUUCUUUUUCUUCUGUG